rnacentral:rRNA from 1 species
AGACUGCCGGUAUAAACCGGAGGAAGUGGGGAUGACGCAAAUCAUCAUGCCCCUUAUGACCUGGGCUACACACGUGCUACAAUGGUUGGUACAACGAGUUGCGAGUCGGUGACGGCGAGCUAAUCUCUUAAAGCCAAUCUCAGUUCGGAUUGUAGGCUGCAACUCGCCUACAUGAAGUCGGAAUCGCUAGUAAUCGCGGAUCAGCACGCCGCGGUGAAUACGUUCCCGGGCCUU